AGCCUUCUGUUCCAUUCCCAUUGUAUUUGAAGACUGAUCGUGGUGGCUAUAAAAGGAGAAAUAGUAUUACUGAAGCUCUCCUCACAAUAUUAUUGUCUGCCAUGUAGCACAUGGGCUAUUUUCAAAUAAGG